UAGCCAUAGCCUAAAAGCCUCAGCCAAUGAGAGAAGGCGACAGAAAAGUUUUCUUAGUUGGGCGUGGUGGAGGUCUCUGAUUGGCAAAGCCAAAGUUUUGUAGAAAUCUUGAGCAGUUCUAAGACACCCAUAGUGGUGUACAAACGAAAUUUCGAAGCGGGCCGUUUUAUGUAUUUGUUUCCAUGUUACUAGCCUGCAAUAUUUUUUGUCAGAGUGAGAAAAAUCAACACAGGUGACGCAGUUUUGCUGAAAUCUCCGUCUUGCAAGGCAUCGUCUCCUGUAAUGGAUAACACAGUAGUCCUUGAUAGAAGCCCAUCACAACCCUUGGAUCACCUGUCAAAGCGCGGGGAGAGGACUUGAAAAUUCCACACGGAGUCAAGCAGUUAAUCAAAGCCUAAAAGACAUCAUCGAAAGACGUGCCACUUGCGCUGGCAUAUCGUUAAGACCUGCGUUGAUGAGUCAGUAGUCAGUCGAGAAGCUUCCCAAAAACAACAAAACCGUUAUGACUGGAUGUAAGCGAGAGAAAUCGAGGAAAUGCACAGGAUACAGAGAACCAUGGGGAUUGGAUGAGGGAGUAUCAAACAAAUGCAGAGGAGGAGAGAUCCGCCAUAACAGCAGCGCAUCCGUUGGGG